rnacentral:rRNA from 1 species
CCAAUAGCGUAUAUUAAAGUUGUUGCAGUUAAAAAGCUCGUAGUUGAAUUUCAGGCCUGGCUGGACGGUCCGCCCUUCGGGUGAGUACUGUCUGUGGUCGGGUCCUACCUUCUGGCGAAGCGUCAUGGCCUUAACCGGCCGUGGCGGGGAACCAGGACUUUUACUGUGAAAAAAUUAGAGUGUUCAAAGCAGGCAGUCGCUUGGAUACAUUAGCAUGGAAUAAUGGAAUAGGACAAUGGUUCUAUUUGUUGGUUUCUAGGUCCGUUGUAAUGAUUAAUAUGGAUAGGUGGGGGCAUUAGGAUUCAAUUGUCAGAGGUGAAAUUCUUGGAUUUAUUGAAGACUAACUACUGCGAAAGCAUUUGCCAAGGAUGUUUUCAUUAAUCAAGAACGAAAGUUAGGGGAUCGAAGACGAUCAGAUACCGUCGUAGUCUUAACCAUAAACUAUGCCUACUAGGAAUCGGGCGAUGUUGAAAAAAUGACGCGCUCGGCACCUCAUG